UGGGGAAUCUUGCACAAUGGGCGCAAGCCUGAUGCAGCAACGCCGCGUGCGGGAAGACGGCCCUAGGGUUGUAAACCGCUUUCAGCAGGGAAGAAACUGACGGUACCUGCAGAAGAAGGUGCGGCCAACUACGUGCCAGCAGCCGCGGUGACACGUAGGCACCAAGCGUUAUCCGGAUUUAUUGGGCGUAAAGAGCUCGUAGGCGGUUCGGUAAGUCGGGUGUGAAAACUCUGGGCUCAACUCAGAGACGCCACUCGAUACUGCUGUGACUAGAGUGCGGUAGGGGAGCGGGGAAUUUCUGGUGUAGCGGUGAAAUGCGCAGAUAUCAGAAGGAACACCAGUGGCGAAGGCGCCGCUCUGGGCCGUAACUGACGCUGAGGAGCGAAAGCAUGGGUAGCAA
rnacentral:rRNA from 1 species